rnacentral:pre_miRNA from 1 species
UACAAUGUUUGAUUUUUUGUCUUAUUUAAAAAAAAUUAUGAUUAAUAAUUUUAUUUUAUUAGAUGAUAAAAUAUAAAUAGUACUUUAUGUGUGACUAAUUUUUUUAAAAUUUCUUAAAAAUUUUUCAAAUAAGACGGAUGAUCACACGCUCGACAUAAAAAACCA